rnacentral:rRNA from 1 species
AUUGAACGCUGGCGGCAUGCCUUACACAUGCAAGUCGAACGGUAACAGGUCUUCGGAUGCUGACGAGUGGCGAACGGGUGAGUAAUACAUCGGAACGUGCCCGAGAGUGGGGGAUAACGAAGCGAAAGCUUUGCUAAUACCGCAUACGAUCUCAGGAUGAAAGCAGGGGACCGCAAGGCCUUGCGCUCACGGAGCGGCCGAUGGCAGAUUAGGUAGUUGGUGGGAUAAAAGCUUACCAAGCCGACGCUCUGUAGCUGGUCUGAGAGGACGACCAGCCACACGGGGACUGAGACACGGCCCAGACUCCUACGGGAGGCAGCAGUGGGGAAUUUUGGACAAUGGGCGAAAGCCUGAUCCAGCCAUGCCGCGUGCAGGAUGAAGGCCUUCGGGUUGUAAACUGCUUUUGUACGGAACGAAAAGACUCUGGUUAAUACCUGGAGUCCAUGACGGUACCGUAAGAAUAAGCACCGGCUAACUACGUGCCAGCCGCCGCCGUAAGAC